rnacentral:rRNA from 1 species
UGGGUUCUGGAUUAGGUAGGAGUACCCGCUGAACUGAAGCAUCUCAUUAAGCGGAGGAAAAGAAACUAACUAGGAUUCUCUUACUAAAGGCGAUCGAAGAGAGAAGAGCUCGAAAGCUUAAUCCCUUUCGGGGGAAAUGUAGCUGGAUCAUCUUUGCAACGCUGACAACUUUCCUGGAAACGUUGGGCGAUACAGAGUUCAAGCCUCGUACAUGCAGCACCGCAAGCAUGAUGGUCUAAAACGAGUCGGGUAGCUUGAGAUUGCUGCCUUAAGAUGGGUGGUAUGCCUCAUCCAAAGCUAAAUAUUGUAAGGAGACCGAUAGAGUACAAGUAGUGUGAACGAACGAUGAAAAGAAUUCUACGACAGAGAGUGCAAAGCGCCUGAACUUGUCUAGGAGUCAGCAUCUUAGAUGCGCCCGUCUUGUAACACGGAUUAGGGAGUUUAACUGCAGUGCGAGUUUCCGCUUUAGAAAAGCGAAGGCGAAAAGAGAAUGACUGGCUCAUUAGAGCAUGGCGUCUGAGCACUGGUGUUAGAACCCGAAUGGUGGUGAACUAUGCCUGCACAGGACGAAGCCAGGGGAAACUCUGGUGGAGGUCCGUAGCGUUAUUGAUGUGCAAAUCAUUUGUCAGAUGUGGGUAUAGGUGCGAAAGACUCAUCGAACCACCUAAUAGCUGGUUUCCUCCGAAGUUUCCCUCAGGAUAGCCGCAAUGCUUUUAGUUAAGGGGGGUAGAGACAUGGGUAGAGGUCUAGGGGAUCUACGGAUCCUCAGCCUAUUUCCAAACUUCGAACCUUCUUGUUACUAGCUUAUUUCCGAAUAGGAAGCUGGUAAAUGAAUAUGCGUUGCGAGUGGGCUCGGACUGGUAAGCGGUCCUGGCGAAAAGGGAUGAACCUAACGUAUGGAUAAGGUGCCUAAAUGUACUACCAAUGAUACCAUUAAAAGAGUCCAUGUAUUAAAACAGCAGGUCGGUGUCCCUAAAAGCAGGCAUCCGUUAAUGAGUGUGUUAAAACUCCCCUGCCGAAUACUAGGGCCUUGAAAAUGAAUGGCGCACAUAGUACUACCGAUACCAUACACAUGCAGCUGAUGCAUGGAGUAGGGGGACAUGAACAUUAUCAACGAAGGCAUCUCGUAAGAGGUGUUGGAGAAGUGUUUAUUGCACAUCCUAAUUGAAGUAGCGUUUAUCCAGGUUAACAUCCUGGAGGCUGAUGAGGAGUAGGGUUUCUGGGCAACAUACACUGUCCCAGAGUUAGUCGGUCCUGAUCCCAAUAAUGGUGAGAAAGGGAACACGGUUGAUAUUCCGUGACUAGUAGCAGGGAGUGGCAACACAGAGGAAACGUUUUCCGUCGAUUAGAUACCGAUUAUUAGGGAUCUCUUUCCUAAAUGACGGUGUGCGUGUGCUAGGAAUCAGGUCAACUGGAGAAUAUUUGCAUGCGUACCUGGCAAAAUGCUGAUUCGUCAGCAUUAAGGGCUGUCUGAUUGAUCCAUGAAGCAAGCGUUUUUAGUACUGCGCUAGGCGUACCGAUGACCGCAUCAGGUCUCCGAGGUGAGUAGCCUAUGGCCAUUGAGGUGUGGUAGUUCAGGGAAUUCGGCCAAUUGGAGCUGUAACUUCGGGAUAAAGCUUGGCUCUGAUGGAAAUCAGAACUGAUUGUUACAAGGAGAGCCCAACUGUUUAAUAAAAACGCAGUGUCGCGCUGAAGUCAUACAGCUUGUGAACGCGACAUGAAUCCUGCUCAGUGCUGUGUCUGUUAAAGUGGUUCAAGCCAACGAAGCACCGGUAAAUAGCUGGGGUAACUAUGACUCUUAUCAAAGUAGCGAAAUACCUCGUCACUUAAUUAGUGACCUGCAUGAACGGAGCUAUGAGGUUCUCACUGUCCCAAACUAUCUCUCAGCGAACCAACAGUUGUGGGAACGGGCACAAGUUAUCCAGCGGGGAAAGAAGACCCUGUAGAGCUUCACUUUGGUCUAGUCUUGUAUGGUUUCGUCAAGGGUGCAGUCUAGGUGGGAGAGCAAUCGA